rnacentral:rRNA from 1 species
UCCGACCUCAGAUCGGACGAGAUUACCCGCUGAAUUUAAGCAUAUAACUAAGCGGAGGAAAAGAAACUAACAAGGAUUUCCCCAGUAACGGCGAGUGAAGCGGGAAGAGCCCAGCACCGAAUCCCUCAGUGUCACGCUGACGGGAACUGUGGUGUGUGGGACGCCACCAGUCGCAUCAGAGGGCGCCGAAGUCCUCCUGAUCGGGGCUUCACCCAGAGCGGGUGUAAGGCCUUUGCAGGUGCCUCUCUGUGCGGCCGCGAGCGUCUCAUGAGUCGGGUUGUUUGGGAAUGCAGCCCAAAGCGGGUGGUAAACUCCAUCUAGGCUAAAUACUUGCACGAGU